rnacentral:lncRNA from 1 species
AUCAGAGAUGUCAAAGUUUAACCGUCGCUUAAUACUAAGAACAGAUUUUAACCAUUCAACAGAAAAUAUGUAAGUAGUUUUUCUAUCCAUUUUCAUGAUGACGGUUUUCGACACGAAUUUAUGUUCUCUACUCCACUUAUUCUCAAGUUUUCAACUCAUCGAGAUAUUUAAACAAUCAAAUUGAUCUCACUCACUACAAAAAAUUCCAGGUCCAGCGACCAAAAAAUUCGUCACUGAAGGUCAUUAUUUGGUCGCUACAGGUCUCUAGCGACCACAAAACGAUGGUCACUGAUUGGUCGGUAAUAGACUGUCGGUGAUGGUCUUCAACGACCAAUAAGUUGUGGUCGAUGGAUAUAUACAUUCCAACGACCAGUUAUUGGUCGAUGGUAGGCUUAGCCGUAUUCGCUACGAGUUGUGCAGCGACCACUGUAUUGGUCGCUAAUAUAAGUGGUCGCUAAUAUAAGAGUGGUUGCUAUAUAUUGGAUUCACCUGUUUUUGGAGACUUGAUUUGAAGUACUACCCUUGGCAUCUUUCUUAAAGGAAUUGCUCUUUCUGAUUCUUAAAGCAUAAGAGAUCUAUUGGUUUGGUUUAUCUUGAUACGCUGGUCCUCUGUUAAAACAAAAUUAAAGUA